CGAACGCUGGCGGCAGGCCUAACACAUGCAAGUCGAGCGAACCUUCGGGUUAGCGGCGGACGGGUGAGUAACGCGUGGGCAACCUGCCCUGUAUAAAGGGAUAGCCACUGGAAACGGUGAUUAAUACCUUAUAAGACUACAGAAACACAUGUUUCAGUAGCCAAAGCUCCGGCGAUACAGGAUGGGCCCGCGUUUGAUUAGCUAGUUGGUGAGGUAAUGGCUCACCAAGGCGACGAUCAAUAGCCGACCUGAGAGGGUGAUC
rnacentral:rRNA from 1 species